rnacentral:rRNA from 1 species
AGUGAACGCUGGCGGUAGGCCUAACACAUGCAAGUCGAACGGCAGCACAGUAAGAGCUUGCUCUUACGGGUGGCGAGUGGCGGACGGGUGAGGAAUACAUCGGAAUCUACUUUUUCGUGGGGGAUAACGUAGGGAAACUUACGCUAAUACCGCAUACGACCUACGGGUGAAAGCAGGGGAUCUUCGGACCUUGCGCGAUUGAAUGAGCCGAUGUCGGAUUAGCUAGUUGGCGGGGUAAAGGCCCACCAAGGCGAGGAUCCGUAGCUGGUCUGAGAGGAUGGUCAGCCACACUGGAACGGAGACACGGUCCAGACUCCUACGGGAGGCAGCAGUGGGGAAUAUUGGACAAUGGGCGCAAGCCUGAUCCAGCCAUACCGCGUGGGUGAAGAAGGCCUUCGGGUUGUAAAGCCCUUUUGUUGGGAAAGAAAAGCAGCAGGUUAAUACCCCGCUGUUCUGACGGUACCCAAAGAAUAAGCACCGGCUAACUUCGUG